rnacentral:lncRNA from 1 species
AUUAUUGAACAAUGCCAUAACAUUUGACAAAAAAAAAUUUAUAUAUAACUACAAAAAAAUAUUAUUAAAGAAUGACGGACAUAUUGGUUAUAAACAGUUGGAUAAUGAUUCGGCAAAUGUACAAAAUCGGGAGGAAGUAAAAGGGCAUUGUAAAUUGGCUAUUCAUAAGAAUAUGUUAGGUGAUAGUACCGUCCCUAGUGGAAACGCCACACCAAGUAAUAAUACCUUAGCAAGUGAUAGGACAAGCACAUCUAACCACAAGGACUCAUGCACGGAUUUAUUACUAAACAAAAAUAAUAGCACGCAAACGUACGCGAAUGACGAAUACAAAUAUAAUAACGAUGAAUACGAUAAUAUUAUACAAUAUUUAUCACAGGUACAUGCAGAUGAAAAUACGUUUGAUUUAUGUGGAUCUAAUAUGUAUAAACAGGAAAACAUAUAUGAAAUAGAGUACGAGGAUGACGAAGCAUAUAGUGAAUAUGUUUAUAAUAGAAAAAAAGAAAUCGAGAUCAAUAGGAAUAUGGUGCAUAAGACGAAUAUAACAGAAGAUUAUAUGUUAACUGGUUACUUUCCAAAUAGUUAUUUUUUUUUUUGUUUUAAAAAUCGAGUUUUGACGAUAAAAAAACAGUUAUCCCUAAACAAUUUAUGUUCGUUUAUCUAUUUAUAUAAUAAGAUACAGAAUAUUGAAAUGGCUCGAAUAUUAGGUGAAGAGUAUAUAAAUAGAUACAAAAUAGAAAAGGAUAAAAUAAUAAAUUAUAAACAUAUUAUACACUUAUUAAAUAUAUAUAUAAAAAUAAAUUACAAAGAAAAUAAUGUGAAUCAUAUUGUUGAAGGUUUGAUUAAACAAUUAUAUCAAGACGUUUCUUUGUAUGAUUUGAAAUUAGCAACAUUAGGUUUUGUAUGUUUAUCUAAGUUAAAUUUAUUUAAUAUAAUGUUUUAUGAUUAUAUUGGUUUAUUUCUAACAAAUAUAAAUACAUGUCGUUCUUCUUUUUCAACAUUUUAUUUUUCACUAGUCUUACAUUGUAUAGGUUAUUAUAGACAUGAUUUAUUAAUAAAAAAAAAAAAAGUGUUACAUACGAUGCGGUUAAUUAAAAGUUUACACAGGUAUGAUACAUAUAGUAGCAAAGAAGAUGCAGAAAAGAAUUAUGCGAGUAAAAAUGUUGAAAUGGUAAAUAAGAUCAAAAGGGAAGGUAGACAAAAAAAAAAAUAUAUUGAAAAAUAUAUUGAAAAGUAUAAUAGUAAUAAUAAUGAUAAAAAACGUGAUACUAUAGUAAUAUUACCAUCUUUGGAAGAAGAAAAAAAAAAAAAAAAAAGUUUAGCACUAAACCAGGAAAAAACGAAAAAAGUAAAUGUAAGAAACUAUGUUUUAGAAAACACAAAAAUAAACUGUUUUACUUUUUUAUUACAUAAAAAUAAUAGUCAAAAAAUAAACGAAUUAG